ACCCCUCAUAGCCUGGUUCCUCUCUAGGUUUCUAAUCUCCACCCGGCACAGUCAGAAGAGGACUGGCCACCCCACAUAGCCUGGUUCCUCUCUAGGUUUCUAAUCUCCACCCGGCACAGUCAGAAGAGGACUGGCCACCCCUCAUAGCCUGGUUCCUCUCUAGGUUUCUAAUCUCCACCCGGCACAGUCAGAAGAGGACUGGCCACCCCUCAUAGCCUGGUUCCUCUCUAGGUUUCUAAUCUCCACCCGGCACAGUCAGAAGAGGACUGGCCACCCCACAUAGCCUGGUUCCUCUCUAGGUUUCUAAUCUCCACCCGGCACAGUCAGAAGAGGACUGGCCACCCCUCAUAGCCUGGUUCCUCUCUAGGUUUCUAAUCUCCACCCGGCACAGUCAGAAGAGGACUGGCCACCCCUCAUAGCCUGGUUCCUCUCUAGGUUUCUAAUCUCCACCCGGCACAGCCAGAAGAGGACUGGCCACCCCUCAU